GGGGUAAAAUGGCAUUUUGAGCACUUGACUUUUAAUCAAGUUGUCCGGGGUUCGAAUCCCCGAUGCCUCA
rnacentral:tRNA from 1 species